UUUCCGGUUGAUCCUGCCGGACCUGACUGCUAUCGGAUUGAUACUAAGCCAUGCGAGUCAUUGUAGCAAUACAAGGCAGACGGCUCAGUAACGCGUAGUCAACCUACCCUAUGGACGGGAAUAACCUCGGGAAACUGAGUAUAAUGCCCGAUAGAACAUUAUACCUGGAAUGGUUUAUGUUCCAAAUGAUUUAUCGCCGUAGGAUGGGACUGCGGCCUAUCAGCUUGUUGGUGAUGUAAUGGACCACCAAGGCUAUAACAGAUACGGGCUCUGAGAGGAGAAGCCCGGAGAUGGGUACUGAAACACGGACCCAGGCCCUAUGGGGCGCAGCAGGCGAGAAAACUUUGCAAUGUGCGAAAGCACGACAAGGUUAAUCCGAGUGAUUCCUGCUAAAGGAAUCUUUUGUUUGUCAUAAAACCACUAAUGAAUAAGGGGUGGGCAAGUUCUGGUGUCAGCCGCCGCGGUAAAACCAGCACCUCAAGUGGUCAGGAUGAUUAUUGGGCCUAAAGCAUCCGUAGCCGGCUCUGUAAGUUUUCGGUUAAAUCCAUAUGCUCAACAUAUGGGCCGCCGGGAAUACUGCAUAGCUAGGGAGUGGGAGAGGUAGACGGUACUCCGUAGGAAGGGGUAAAAUCCUUUGAUCUAUGGAUGACCACCUGUGGCGAAGGCGGUCUACCAGAACACGUUCGACGGUGAGGGAUGAAAGCUGGGGGAGCAAACCGGAUUAGAUACCCGGGUAGUCCCAGCUGUAAACUAUGCAAACUCAGUGAUGCACUGGCUUGUGGCCAGUGCAGUGUUGCAGGGAAGCCGUUAAGUUUGCCGCCUGGGAAGUACGUACGCAAGUAUGAAACUUAAAGGAAUUGGCGGGGGAGCACCACAAGGGGUGAAGCCUGCGGUUCAAUUGGAGUCAACGCCGGAA
rnacentral:rRNA from 1 species